rnacentral:lncRNA from 1 species
AUAGGGUAAUUUGGUGAAUAAGUAGGGGGAUCGGGACGGUCACCGAUGGAUGGAGACAAGUACUGAGGUUGGCCUCGGCGCAAUUUUAGUCAAUACGGUGCUGCAUACGUCUAUUGCCUUUCCUCACGGUAAUAAUGAAUUUAUUUAAUUUUAAUUUAUGAUUGUUAGAGAUUAGAUCUAAUUAUGAGUUGGAUUACUCGGUUUGAUUUGAAGGUUCAUUCUAAAAAUAAAAGGGUUUGAACAAAAAUAUAGUCUCGAAAAAUGAGUUUAAGUAAAAAAUAAGACCCGUUUAGAAAAUAGAUCAAGCCUCGGGUAAUAUUUUUUUGGCCUAGCCUUGACCCCAGCUGUAGCUCGAAUUUACAAAAAAGAAAAAGCUUGCAAUUUUAUAGCUAUUUUGCUGCUUUUUUUUCACUAUUUUACUCUCAUUUUAUUGAUGUGACAUAUAAAUUAAUUAUCAUUUGGAUGUUAAGAUAGCAAUUAAUUUUUUAAAUUUAAAAAAAAAUUUAAAUAUUAAUAUGGUGUGGGUUGUUACAUUGAUGCCAUAUAAGUAAAGUUAACAAAGUUAAUUUUUUCAAUCUAUUUUAAAAUAAUUUGACAAAUAAUACAAGUUUAAAAGACUAAAGGAAAUAAAAAAUUAAUAAAUAAUUAAAAUAAAUUUUUUAAAAUUGAAAGACCAAAUAAAUCAUUUUACCUAUAUAAUAUAAUAUAAUAUAUCCAUUUGAAGAGGGAACAUGAUUAUUUUAUUCAUCUCCGAUCCACUUAGAAAUUAAAAACUUUUUCUUCAAUUUUCUUCUAUUCUCUUUUUUUUUCCUCGCAAUUGUAAAGGAGGCCGAUAAAGAAGAGGCAAAUUUGGGUGAGAUCAGUGCAAAUUAAAGAAAAGGUACAAAAAUGAAUAAAGCUUCCAUUUUAGGCUUAUGUUAUAGGUAGAAGAAACUGAAGUAGUUGAAUGUUAUUGCCCACAACAAAAUCAAAAUCACAUCUCAUCAUCAUCCAUUAUUCCAGUACUCAUAAUCUUUUAUAUAAUUUAUGUAUUUGUUAGAAUUGAGUGACCCGGAUCCUUAUUUAAAUAAAAUACAAUGGUAAAAUAAAAUAAAAGUAAAAUCCAUAUAGAACUACACUUCUUUUAUUUUAUUUUAGAUUAAGGUUUUUCAACCUUAUUAUACUUCAUCUAUUUAAUAUUGAUUAAAGUGUUUCAACCUUACUACACUCAUUCUAUUAGAAUAUGGUUUUACAAGCCUAUAAAUAGGCAUAGUCUACUCCUCUUGUAAUUAAAAAUUCGAAUUCGACAUAGUGAAUUAUCUUCUCCUCUGCCAGUGGUUUUUUUCGAAAUAGUUUCCACGUAAAAUUAUAUGUGUUCUUUAUUUUUCUUUCUCUUUUCUUUACGAUACAUUGUCAUUACCAACAUUUUAUUUUUCACAAAUUGAUAUCAGAGCUUUCCAGGUUGCUUAUCUCGAUCACGGUAAUGACAUCUUUGAAGUAUGAAAUUUUGCUGUUGGAUCGCAACACAAGAUUCGCGUUUUGGUAAAUUAAGAUGCAGGCGGUUCUUGUGCAGAUGGGUCUGGAGGAUACCCUACUAAGGAUAGAUAAGAUGCCUUUGACAUUGACGGAGGAAGAGAAGAGGCAUAAAGAUUGAAAUGUGUUAACACAGUUACAUCUGCAUUUAUCUAACGAAAUUUUACAGGAUGUGAUGAAG